AAGUCGUAACAAGGUUUCCGUAGGUGAACCUGCGGAAGGAUCAUUAAAGAAUGCCCCGUUUUUUGAAAUGGGUUCUGUUCCCAAACCGUGUAUACAUACUUUUGUUGCUUUGGCAGGCCGCCUUCGGGCGUCGGCUCACGCUGACAGCGCCUGCCAGAGGACCCAAACUCGUUUGUUUAGUGAUGUCUGAGUACUAUAUAAUAGUUUAAAACUUUCAACAACGGAUCUCUUGGUUCUGGCAUCGAUGAAGAACGCAGCGAAAUGCGAUAAGUAAUGUGAAUUGCAGAAUUCAGUGAAUCAUCGAAUCUUUGAACGCACAUUGCGCCCCUUGGUAUUCCGAGGGGCAUGCCUGUUCGAGCGUCAUUAUGACCACUCAAGCCUAGCUUGGUAUUGGGGUUCGCGGUCCCGCGGCCCUUAAAAUCAGUGGCGGUGCCAUCUGGCUCUAAGCGUAGUAAUUUAUCUCGCUAUUGGGUCCGGUGGUUGCUUGCCAACAACCCCUAACUUUUAAGGUUGACCUCGGAUCAGGUAGGGAUACCCGCUGAACUUAA
rnacentral:rRNA from 1 species